GGGGAAUAUUGGACAAUGGGCGCAAGCCUGAUCCAGCCAUGCCGCGUGUGUGAAGAAGGUCUUCGGAUUGUAAAGCACUGUAAGUUGGGAGGAAGGGCUGCAAGUUAAUACCUUGUAGUUUUGACGUUACCAACAGAAUAAGCCCCGGCUAACUACGUGCCAGCAGCCGCGGUAACACGUAGGGGGCGAGCGUUGUUCGGAAUCAUUGGGCGUAAAGGGCGCGCAGGCGGCGAGGCAAGUCCGGUGUGAAAGUGCUCGGCUCAACCGAGUGAUGCGCUGGGAACUGCCCUGCUUGAGUACAGGAGGGGACGUCGGAAUUCCAGGUGUAGGGGUGAAAUCUGUAGAUAUCUGGAAGAACACCGGUGGCGAAGGCGGACGUCUGGCCAUGUACUGACGCUGAGGCGCGAAGGUGCGGGGAGCGAACA
rnacentral:rRNA from 1 species